rnacentral:tRNA from 1 species
UAGUCCUGUAGCUCAGUUGGGAGAGCGCCUCUCUUACAAAGAGGAUGCCACGGGUUCAAAUCCUGCCAGGACUAU